rnacentral:rRNA from 1 species
UGAGUAACCUGCCCUUAACUCUGGGAUAAGCCUGGGAAACUGGGUCUAAUACCGGAUAUGACUCCUCAUCGCAUGGGUGGGGGGG